UUUUUUUCUGUGUGACAUGUGGCAGUUUUGCCUCUGUUAUUAGAUAUAGAUAGAUUAAGGAAAUUAAAAGUGGACGAACCAAAAACUUCUUCAGUUUCAAGUUAAGAUUAACUUAAAUAGAACAUUAGGACAGUUUUAAUUCCAUUAUUCUGGGAAGAGAAAGCCAGCAACAUAGAAAAAAAAAAGAAACUUAUGGUGAAAUUUGGGAGAGUUUAUAGACGAAAAAAACUUUAAACCACUGUUGGCGCCUGUCAAAACUACAGAUUGAAGCUAUUGAAGGUUAUUUAGUUGGUGUUUUACGCAUUGUGAGGUUGAGAAACUUGUCAAAACGAGAUAUAGUUGCGGAGGGGGAGACUUGUGGCUGACGGUUCUUACGUGUGGAUUCUGUCACUAAGGUGAGACUUCACAUUGUUCAUGGAGGCUAUCAUCCGACUUUAGUUAUUUUUAGAUGAUAUUUUUUUCCGUUGGGUUUGCAUGCCCGAAAGUCGAACUCAUGUAAAUUUGUUUAGAUGCUCCAUGGUCUUGGUGUGGGAUUUGAGGCUAGAGAGUUAUUAUCUAAGUAUUGUUGUUUUCAUAAACCGUAUUAAUCUAACUGGGUGGUUAACUACUUUGCGUUUAAUAAUUAUUUCAUGAUUUGGAGUUGCAUAAGUUUCUAGCUCAGUGUUUGUAGACGUUGUGAAUGUAUGAAAAAUUGAUUCUCCCGGCAA